rnacentral:rRNA from 1 species
GAUGAACGCUGGCGGCGUGCUUAACACAUGCAAGUCGAACGAAGCACUUUAUUUGAUUUCCUUCGGGACUGAUUAUUUUGUGACUGAGUGGCGGACGGGUGAGUAACGCGUGGGUAACCUGCCUUGUACAGGGGGAUAACAGUUGGAAACGGCUGCUAAUACCGCAUAAGCGCACAGCAUCGCAUGAUGCAGUGUGAAAAACUCCGGUGGUAUAAGAUGGACCCGCGUUGGAUUAGCUAGUUGGUGAGGUAACGGCCCACCAAGGCGACGAUCCAUAGCCGACCUGAGAGGGUGACCGGCCACAUUGGGACUGAGACACGGCCCAGACUCCUACGGGAGGCAGCAGUGGGGAAUAUUGCGCAAUGGGCGAAAGCCUGAUGCAGCGACGCCGCGUGAGCGAAGAAGUAUUUCGGUAUGUAAAGCUCUAUCAGCAGGGAAGAUAAUGACGGUACCUGGCUAAGAAGCACCGGCUAACUACGUG